rnacentral:lncRNA from 1 species
UGCUAUGAUUUUUUAUGUUUCAUAGAGUGAUUAUCAUCACAGAAGCUCAAGCAUUACGUAAAUACAAACGCAUAUACCCCGACCUGGUAAUUCUGCUUCUGGAAAUUUACCUUCAGGUCCACCCGCACAUCUACAAACUGAUGCAUAUUCAAUGUUAUGUACUGCAGCACUGUUUAUAAGAGCAAAAGACUGGAAACAGCCUAAAUUUCCAUCUAUAAAUCUGUUAAACUGACAGGAAGUUUUUAUAAACAAUAACAGCACUUACAUUUUGAAUUCGGUAUGUGAAAUUAUUAAUCUUCACUUUUUAACUUAUUUUUUUUCCAGCCUAGCAUUAUAUAUUGAUAGGAAAUCCAUUAAAAGUAGAUCACAAAAUCUACUUUUCAAAA